rnacentral:rRNA from 1 species
UGGGGAAUAUUGAACAAUGGGCGAAAGCCUGAUCCAGCCAUGCCGCGUGUGUGAAGAAGGUCUUCGGAUUGUAAAGCACUUUAAGUUGGGAGGAAGGGCAGUAAGCGAAUACCUUGCUGUUUUGACGUUACCGACAGAAUAAGCACCGGCUAACUCUGUGCCAGCAGCCGCGGUAAUACAGAGGGUGCAAGCGUUAAUCGGAAUUACUGGGCGUAAAGCGCGCGUAGGUGGUUCGUUAAGUUGAAUGUGAAAGCCCCGGGCUCAACCUGGGAACUGCAGCCAAAGCAGGCGAGCUAGAGGAGGGCAGAGGGUGGUGGAAUUUCCUGUGUAGCGGUGAAAUGCGUAGAUAUAGGAAGGAACACCAGUGGCGAAGGCGACCACCUGGGCUCAUACUGACACUGAGGUGCGAAAACGUGGGGAGCAAACAGG